UACAGAGGGGGCAAGCGUUAUUCGGAAUUAUUGGGCGUAAAGGGCGCGUAGGCGGCCUGGCAAGUGGCAGGUGAAAUCCCUCGGCUUAACCGAGGAACUGCCUCCCAAACUGCUUGGCUUGAGACCGGGAGAGGUGAGUGGAAUUCCCAGUGUAGCGGUGAAAUGCGUAGAUAUUGGGAGGAACACCAGUGGCGAAGGCGGCUCACUGGACCGGUACUGACGCUGAUGCGCGAAAGCGUGGGGAGCAAACGGG
rnacentral:rRNA from 1 species